UCACAUAGCAUCUCUCUCUCUCUCUCUCUCUCUCUCUCUCUCUGUGUGUGUGUGUGUGUGAGAGAGAGAGAGAGAGAGAGAGAGAGAAAGAAAGAAUGAACAAACAG